rnacentral:rRNA from 1 species
UACAGAGGAUGCAAGCGUUAUCCGGAAUGAUUGGGCGUAAAGCGUCUGUAGGUGGCUUUUUAAGUCCGCCGUCAAAUCCCAGGGCUCAACUCUGGACAGGCGGUGGAAACUACCAAGCUGGAGUUCGGUAGGGGAGAUCGGAAUUCCUGGUGUAGCGGUGAAAUGCGCAGAUAUCAGGAGGAACACCGGUGGCGAAGGCGGAUCUCUGGGCCGAUACUGACGCUGAGGAGCGAAAGCGUGGGGAGCGAACAGG